rnacentral:lncRNA from 1 species
GCUCAACAUCAGCCUAGGAAUAGGAUGCAGUAAGGAAGGAACGGAGGAUGGAGGAAAUGACGGACACAAGGCAGAGGGAGUGUAUGGGGAGGCGUGCUGCCUGCCCCCAACUCAGAUCUGCCUCUCCAGCAGGAAGGUUCUAGAGCAAUCCUCUGCUAGUGAGAGCUGUGUCUGAAGGACGCAGGGUGGUGUUGUACAUAGUAGAGAACUGGAGGAGGGGUAGGAAGGAACCCACCCAUCACGUUAAGCCUGCGGGCACCAUUCCAUUAUUCAGCAGGCAGUCGAGUACUGACAACGUGUCAGGCUCCAGAGAUACCAUCAGACAACUGGAAGAUGUUACCCCCUCUACAUCCCUUCUCUAUCCCUCCAUCUGCACGUUUGUACUGCACCCAAGGCUGUUGUCUGGUCGGGGGAGGUGUGCAGGAAGAAAGGACUGCAGGGCAGAAGGACAUCCUAACGGCCGUGUGUGACAUGUUUUAGGAGACGUGUUUAAUGAUGCCUAGUUCAAAGAGAUGGGGGAAUUUGCAAUUACAACCGAGUGCUUCCACUUCCAGCCAAAACGUGGUAUAACAGAAACUCAAUUUCCACUGCUGGCCCAAAUUGAAAUGCCUGAUAAAAUGCAUGGAACCCAAGAGUUUCCCAAAACGUUGGCCACCAUGCAAUCAAGGACAGUCAUCUUUGAGAGACAAAGGAGGUGAACUGUUGGGGCAGCCCCCCUUGUUCCCUAGAGAGACAGGUCCAGCUGCAGCAGAGGGAGCGGGGAGCCUCCGCAGGGCCCUCGGCCUCCUGAGCCGAGGAAAUAUGGGACUAGGUUCUGAGGAGACCAAGGCAACCGGAGUUCACAGGGUCGAGUGCUGGAGAGAAAGCUUCAGAGAAAGCUCUGGAGUUUGCAGAGGGCUCCCCUUGAGACACCCCUUGAACCCAGUACUGAUCAGUACAACUGCAAGGCAGUUAGUUACUCAAGGCUGAAGGGAGGACCUCUCGAAAAGACUAGAAGGAACAGUCGCUGCAACACAUACAUGGCUGGGACUAGUUCCUGUUCCCUCUAUUCAGAGAGGAAAACCUCCUUCAUUCAGGCCUUCCAGUAAUGGGUCAGAAAGGAUUUGCCUUCAUUGCAGAGC